UCUCUGUGGCCCCACCCCAGCUACCCACACACACCUCAGCACUGGUACCAGUUGUGUGGCUGGGGCGAGGCAGUCCUGGGGCACAGGGAGAUACGAAUGCCCAUGGGCACAUCUCAGGCUCUGGGCACACCACCGCACUGGGCCAGCCCACAUACUGCCAACUGCUGACACGACUAAAAACCUGACCCUUGGUGGCCGGGAGGGGUGGCGCUGGGGGAACGGAACGACUGGGAGGCAGCUAUGUCUGCCUCACUGGCUUUUUUAAGGAACUUACUCUUCUGGAGUAAUCUCUGCUUGAAAGAGACCUACAGACAGUCAGGGCAUCCCCGAGAUGCCAUCUGCGCCCCUUCCAAGUGUCCGAUCCACAGAAAUGCAGAAGGCCACGCUGAGUCCACUGGUGGCCGUCCGGACAACUCCAAGAACCACCCCUCUCCAGCGCCUUUCUCUUGUCUACCCGGAGGAAGAAGGGUGGAAGGCUAAGCUGGCAACACAAAGCAGGGAACAAGACUUCCCAGUGUCUAGAAGGCCCCUCCCGUCCGGAGCUGCCCAACCCUGGCCGGUUGCUUGUCGUCGGUUGGAAGGACUGAGUGGCCACCAGGACUGCAGGUACCAGGUAUGCUGGGAUGGAGAGGGUGGUACAGUGUGGGGAAGGGGCAGAGGAGGCGAUUAGAGUGAGGACACAGGUAGGGGGCAGGCAGUGUUGGAGGGUUAGGGGCAAGGGACAGGGAGGGUGGGACUUUCCUACUGACACACACCCGGGCUCCCGGACAGCUGAGCUGAUAUGGCCCCUAAAAAUAGCAGAGGAAUUUGAGACCUGCAGCCCCCGGCCCCACAGGCCAGGAAUGAGACAAGCACAUUUGCGUACACACACACACACACACACA